UACGAAGGGGGGCUAGCGUUGCUCGGAAUCACUGGGCGUAAAGGGUGCGUAGGCGGGUUUUUAAGUCAGGGGUGAAAUCCUGGAGCUCAACUCCAGAACUGCCUUUGAUACUGAAGAUCUUGAGUCCGGGAGAGGUGAGUGGAACUGCGAGUGUAGAGGUGAAAUUCGUAGAUAUUCGCAAGAACACCAGUGGCGAAGGCGGCUCACUGGCCCGAUACUGACGCUGAGGUGCGAAAGCGUGGGGGAGCAAACAGG
rnacentral:rRNA from 1 species